rnacentral:rRNA from 1 species
GACGAACGCUGGCGGCGUGCUUAACACAUGCAAGUCGAACGGUGAAGCAGAGCUUGCUCUGUGGAUCAGUGGCGAACGGGUGAGUAACACGUGAGCAACCUGCCCCGGACUCUGGGAUAAGCGCUGGAAACGGCGUCUAAUACCGGAUACGAGCUGCGAAGGCAUCUUCAGCAGCUGGAAAGAACUUCGGUCUGGGAUGGGCUCGCGGCCUAUCAGCUUGUUGGUGAGGUAACGGCUCACCAAGGCGUCGACGGGUAGCCGGCCUGAGAGGGUGACCGGCCACACUGGGACUGAGACACGGCCCAGACUCCUACGGGAGGCAGCAGUGGGGAAUAUUGCACAAUGGGCGAAAGCCUGAUGCAGCAACGCCGCGUGAGGGACGACGGCCUUCGGGUUGUAAACCUCUUUUAGCAGGAAAGAAGCGAAAGUGACGGUACCUGCAGAAAAAGCGCCGGCUAACUACGUGCCAGCAGCCGCGGUAAUACGUAGGGCGCAAGCGUUAUCCGGAAUUAUUGGGCGUAAAGAGCUCGUAGGCGGUCUGUCGCGUCUGCUGUGAAAACCCGAGGCUCAACCUCGGGCCUGCAGUGGGUACGGGCAGACUAGAGUGCGGUAGGGGAGAUUGGAAUUCCUGGUGUAGCGGUGGAAUGCGCAGAUAUCAGGAGGAACACCGAUGGCGAAGGCAGAUCUCUGGGCCGUAACUGACGCUGAGGAGCGAAAGGGUGGGGAGCAAACAGGCUUAGAUACCCUGGUAGUCCACCCCGUAAACGUUGGGAACUAGUUGUGGGGUCCAUUCCACGGAUUCCGUGACGCANNUAACGCAUUAAGUUCCCCGCCUGGGGAGUACGGGCCGCAAGGCUAAAACUCAAAGGAAUUGACGGGGACCCGCACAAGCGGCGGAGCAUGCGGAUUAAUUCGAUGCAACGCGAAGAACCUUUCCAAGGCUUGACAUAUACGAGAACGCUGCAGAAAUGUAGAACUCUUUGGACACUCGUAAACAGGUGGUGCAUGGUUGUCGUCAGCUCGUGUCGUGAGAUGUUGGGUUAAGUCCCGCAACGAGCGCAACCCUCGUUCUAUGUUGCCANCACGUAAUGGUGGGAACUCAUGGGAUACUGCCGGGGUCAACUCGGAGGAAGGUGGGGAUGACGUCAAAUCAUCAUGCCCCUUAUGUCUUGGGCUUCACGCAUGCUACAAUGGCCGGUACAAAGGGCUGCAAUACCGUAAGGUGGAGCGAAUCCCAAAAAGCCGGUCCCAGUUCGGAUUGAGGUCUGCAACUCGACCUCAUGAAGUCGGAGUCGCUAGUAAUCGCAGAUCAGCAACGCUGCGGUGAAUACGUUCCCGGGUCUUGUACACACCGCCCGUCAAGUCAUGAAAGUCGGUAACACCUGAAGCCGGUGGCCCAACCCUUGUGGAGGGAGCCGUCGAAGGUGGGAUCGGUAAUUAGG